rnacentral:rRNA from 1 species
AUGCAUUGCAUGAGCUGGAACUGUUGAGGGCUUGGGAACCCAUCGAUAGUCCGAGAGCUUCACAAGAUUGUGAAGCAGGAAGGUCCCUCCCUUCUCUUUCUCAUGGAAACUAAGAUUAGGGGAAAAAGAGUUGAGAGUUUGAAGAAUUUACUUGGUUUUGCUGGAUGCUUUGUUGUUGAUAGCAGUGGCUUAAGCGGUGGAAUUGGCUUGUUUUGGACAGAUAAUAUUGAUGUAGAACUAAGAAACUACAGCCAAGCACAUAUUGAUGUGAACGUCGAGAUGAAUGAUCAGUCACAACCUUGGCGGUUCACAGGAUUUUACGGAGAACCCCAAGUUGAAAAUAGGUAUCAUAGCUGGGAUUUUUUGCGUACAUUAUAUGGAGUACAACAUCAUGGUUAG